CCCCUAGAUGUUCUGGGCCGCACGCGCGCUACACUGAACAGUUCAACAAGUCUUAACCUUGGCCGAUAGGUCUGGGUAAUCUUUGAACGCUGUUCGUGAUUGGGAUAGACCUUUGCAAUUAUGGGUCUUCAACGAGGAAUUCCUAGUAAGCGCAAGUCAUCAGCUUGCAUUGAUUACGUCCCUGCCCUUUGUACACACCGCCCGUCGCACCUACCGAUUGAAUGGUCCGGUGAAAUCUCGGGACGGCGGCUCGGUCGCUUGCGUCCGACUGCUGAAACUUGAUUAAACCAUAUCAUUUAGAGGAAGGUGAAGUCGUAACA
rnacentral:rRNA from 1 species